GGUAGGGUUCCGACACCAGAAGAGGUACACGGCAUCUUUAAGGAGGUGGUGAAGAGGGACACGAAAGGCCGUGUGCUCGGGAUGGGAAUGAUGACACAGAUGGUGUCUAGUGGAUCUAGUACUCAGUCCACUAGCACGUCUCAGACUGCCUCUACUGCUUCUCUUGAGGAGGUUGAGGCGCUAAGAGCUGAAGUGAAUGCUCAGGUUGCUAGAGGGAACAACCUCGAGGCACGUAUGAUGGAGCAAGAUGGCACCAUUAAUGAUCUCAAGAGUAUGUUGACAGAGUUGAUGGAAAAUAUGAA
rnacentral:lncRNA from 1 species